UACGUAGGUGGCAAGCGUUGUCCGGAUUUAUUGGGUUUAAAGGGUGCGUAGGCGGCCCUGUAAGUCAGUGCUGAAAUACCCCGGCUUAACCGGGGGGGUGGCAUUGAUACUGCAGGGCUUGAGUACAGAUGAGGUAGGCGGAAUUGACGGUGUAGCGGUGAAAUGCUUAGAUAUCGUCAAGAACACCGAUAGCGAAGGCAGCUUACUGGGCUGUAACUGACGCUGAGGCACGAAAGUGUGGGGAUCAAACAGG
rnacentral:rRNA from 1 species